GAUGAACGCUGGCGGCGUGCCUAAUACAUGCAAGUCGAGCGAACAGAUAAGGAGCUUGCUCCUUUGACGUUAGCGGCGGACGGGUGAGUAACACGUGGGUAACCUACCUAUAAGACUGGGAUAACUUCGGGAAACCGGAGCUAAUACCGGAUAACAUUUGGAACCGCAUGGUUCUAAAGUGAUAGAUGGUUUUGCUAUCACUUAUAGAUGGUCCCGCGCCGUAUUAGCUAGUUGGUAAGGUAACGGCUUACCAAGGCAACGAUCCGUAGCCGACCUGAGAGGGUGAUCGGCCACACUGGAACUGAGACACGGUCCAGACUCCUACGGGAGGCAGCAGUAGGGAAUCUUCCGCAAUGGGCGAAAGCCUGACGGAGCAACGCCGCGUGAGUGAUGAAGGGUUUCGGCUCGUAAAACUCUGUUAUUAGGGAAGAACAAACGUGUAAGUAACUGUGCACGUCUUGACGGUACCUAAUCAGAAAGCCACGGCUAACUACGUG
rnacentral:rRNA from 1 species